AGUGAACGCUGGCGGUAGGCCUAACGCAUGCAAGUCGAACGGCAGCACAGUAAGAGCUUGCUCUUACGGGUGGCGAGUGGCGGACGGGUGAGGAAUACAUCGGAAUCUACUUUUUCGUGGGGGAUAACGUAGGGAAACUUACGCUAAUACCGCAUACGACCUACGGGUGAAAGCAGGGGAUCUUCGGACCUUGCGCGAUUGAAUGAGCCGAUGUCGGAUUAGCUAGUUGGCGGGGUAAAGGCCCACCAAGGCGACGAUCCGUAGCUGGUCUGAGAGGAUGAUCAGCCACACUGGAACUGAGACACGGUCCAGACUCCUACGGGAGGCAGCAGUGGGGAAUAUUGGACAAUGGGCGCAAGCCUGAUCCAGCCAUACCGCGUGGGUGAAGAAGGCCUUCGGGUUGUAAAGCCCUUUUGUUGGGAAAGAAAAGCAGCAGGUUAAUACCCCGCUGUUCUGACGGUACCCAAAGAAUAGGCACCGGCUAACUUCGUG
rnacentral:rRNA from 1 species